rnacentral:misc_RNA from 1 species
UCCGUGUUAACCACGGCAGUCCCUCUAGAGUGCCCAACUUAAUGCUGGCAACUAAAGGCAAGGGUUGCGCUCGUUGCGGGACUUAACCCAACAUGUCACCACACGAGCUGACGACAGCCAUGCAGCACCUGUCUUCCUGUUGUAUUGCUACAAAAGACGUAUCUCUACGUUUGUCAGGAGAUGUCAAACCCAGGUAAGGUUCUUCGCGUUGCUUCGAAUUAAACCACAUGAUCCACCGCUUGUGCGGGCCCCCGUCAAUUCCUUUGAGUUUUAGUCUUGCGACCGUACUUCCCAGGCGGGGUACUUAUCGCGUUAGCUACGACACGGCGGGGGUCAAGACCCACCAUAUCUAGUACCCAUCGUUUACAGCGUGGACUAC